rnacentral:rRNA from 1 species
AUGAAGUCAGUUAUAAUAGUGAUUUCUUUUCCUUCUGAAAGAAAUUGUUUGUCUGCUUUUGGUUUCAAUUUUAAGGCCAGCUCGGUACAAUCUGCAACUACUUAUAGACUACUUCAUCUGGAUGGGUUUGCAACUCUUUGUACAGUUUGCUUCAAUACUUCUGUUACCAUUCUACUGUCUGCUGCUAUUUUUCCAUUUGUUCAGUUGCUACCUCUACCCACCAAGUUGAUUUUCUGCAGAUAG